rnacentral:rRNA from 1 species
AUUUCUAGGGUGGUGUGGAGAACUGUGGGUUCCUUGAUUGGAAUUGAUUGUUGUCCUAAUUCUGUCUGGCAAUAUUAUGCUUGGAUAUAUAGCUUCUUACCUGGACUGGAUAAAGUGUUCACCGUUGGCUUGGAUGCUAUAUGCUGGGCUAUCUGGCUAGCUAGGAACCGAGCCACUUUUGAAUUCAAAUGGAUUAACACUCCAUUUGAGAUUGUAUUUACAGCAUGUGCCUUUUUGAUGUACUGGGUAGGUCUCCAGAAACCUGAGAUAGGAGAGAUGGUGAAGAAAGGAGCAGAGAUGCUGAGGGAGAACACAACAUAG